rnacentral:tRNA from 1 species
GGCGCGGUGGCGGAACUGGCAGACGCGCACGACUCAAAAUCGUGUGGUUAACAAACCAUGUGGGUUCGAUUCCCUCCCGCGCCA